UGGCGGCAGGCCUAACACAUGCAAGUCGAACGGUAGCACAGAGAGCUUGCUCUCGGGUGACGAGUGGCGGACGGGUGAGUAAUGUCUGGGAAACUGCCCGAUGGAGGGGGAUAACUACUGGAAACGGUAGCUAAUACCGCAUAACGUCGCAAGACCAAAGAGGGGGACCUUCGGGCCUCUUGCCAUCGGAUGUGCCCAGAUGGGAUUAGCUAGUAGGUGGGGUAACGGCUCACCUAGGCGACGAUCCCUAGCUGGUCUGAGAGGAUGACCAGCCACACUGGAACUGAGACACGGUCCAGACUCCUACGGGAGGCAGCAGUGGGGAAUAUUGCACAAUGGGCGCAAGCCUGAUGCAGCCAUGCCGCGUGUAUGAAGAAGGCCUUCGGGUUGUAAAGUACUUUCAGCGAGGAGGAAGGCAUUAAGGUUAAUAACCUUAGUGAUUGACGUUACUCGCAGAAGAAGCACCGGCUAACUCCGUGCCAGCAGCCGCGGUAAUACGGAGGGUGCAAGCGUUAAUCGGAAUUACUGGGCGUAAAGCGCACGCAGGCGGUCUGUCAAGUCGGAUGUGAAAUCCCCGGGCUCAACCUGGGAACUGCAUUCGAAACUGGCAGGCUAGAGUCUUGUAGAGGGGGGUAGAAUUCCAGGUGUAGCGGUGAAAUGCGUAGAGAUCUGGAGGAAUACCGGUGGCGAAGGCGGCCCCCUGGACAAAGACUGACGCUCAGGUGCGAAAGCGUGGGGAGCAAACAGGAUCAGAUACCCUGGUAGUCCACGCCGUAAACGAUGUCUAUUUGAAGGUUGUUCCCCUGAGGAGUGGCUUUCGGAGCUAACGCGUUAAAUAGACCGCCUGGGGAGUACGGCCG
rnacentral:rRNA from 1 species